rnacentral:rRNA from 1 species
CCUACGGGGGGCUGCAGUGGGGGAUAUUGCACAAUGGGGGGAACCCUGAUGCAGCGACGCCGCGUGGGUGAAGAAGCGCCUCGGCGCGUAAAGCCCUGUCAGCAGGGAAGAAAAUGACGGUACCUGAAGAAGAAGCCCCGUCUAACUACGUGCCAGCAGCCGCGGUAAGACGUAGGGGGCAAGCGUUAUCCGGAUUUACUGGGUGUUAAGGGGGCGCAGACGGGGUUGCAAGCCAGGAGUGAAAGCCCGGGGCCCAACCCGGGGACUGCACUUGGAACUGCGUGGCUGGAGUGCAGGAGGGGCAGGCGGAAUUCGUGGUGUAGCGGUGAAAUGCGUAGAUAUCAGGAGGAACACCGGUGGCGAAGGCGGCCUGCUGGACUGCAACUGACGUUGAGGCACGAAAGCGUGGGGAGCAAACAGGAUUAGAUACCCCAGUAGUC